GGGAUUGCCUCAGUAACGGCGAGUGAAGCGGCAACAGCUCAAAUUUGAAAUCUGGCCCCUUCGGGGUCCGAGUUGUAAUUUGGAGAAGAUGCUUCGGUGGUGGCCCCGGUCUAAGUUCCUUGGAACAGGACGUCACAGAGGGUGAGAAUCCCGUACGUGACCGGUGGCCUCCUCCAUGUGAAGCUCUUUCGACGAGUCGAGUUGUUUGGGAAUGCAGCUCAAAAUGGGUGGUAAAUUUCAUCUAAAGCUAAAUAUUGGCCAGAGACCGAUAGCGCACAAGUAGAGUGAUCGAAAGAUGAAAAGCACUUUGGAAAGAGAGUUAAACAGUACGUGAAAUUGUUGAAAGGGAAGCGCUUGCAACCAGACUUGCGCGCGGCCGAUCAUCCGGGGUUCGCCCCGGUGCACUCGGCCGCGCUCAGGCCAGCAUCGGUUUGGGUGGCUGGAUAAAGGCCUCGGGAAUGUGGCUCCCCUCGGGGAGUGUUAUAGCCCGAGGUGCAAUGCAGCCUACCCGGACCGAGGACCGCGCUUCGGCUAGGAUGCUGGCGUAAUGGUUGUAAGCGACCCGUCUUGAAACACGGACCAAGGAGUCUAACAUCUAUGCGAGUGUUUGGGUGUCAAACCCAUACGCGUAAUGAAAGUGAACGGAGGUGAGAACCCUUAAGGGUGCAUCAUCGACCGAUCCUGAUGUCUUCGGAUGGAUUUGAGUAAGAGCAUAGCUGUUGGGACCCGAAAGAUGGUGAACUAUGCCUGAAUAGGGUGAAGCCAGAGGAAACUCUGGUGGAGGCUCGCAGCGGUUCUGACGUGCAAAUCGAUCGUCAAAUUUGGGCAU
rnacentral:rRNA from 1 species